UCGAAUAUCAUGAGGAGAUAGUGUUAAAAAUAUUUGCAUAGUUCAUGAGUUGAAAAUUAUAAAACAAAAUAUAUUGUUUAACCUUGGACAAAAAGAUCAAGUCCAAAACUGGCUGUUAUUUGUGUAGGCUACCUUAAUCUUGAAGAGUAUGCAAUUCUAAAUCAAGGAGGCGGUAGGCAAUUUCCUAAUAAUAUUACAAAAGAACUUGUCACAGAUUCUUAACUAAACGUCUAUCAGAUUAGUAAAAUUUCUAAUUCACUGACAUCUGUUGGACAUAGAUACUCAAAUUGCAGAAUCUUAUUAGUAAUAAAAAAAAAAUCUGUGUUUUCUGUGACAUCAUUUUGAAAAAUAUAUGUUUAUAUUUUAUUUAUUACACUCUAACUGUCUAACAUUUAAUUCUCCUCUGAUUAGAAUUUAGAGUAAUUAUCGUUUGUCAAUUUUCCAAACUUCCCAUGCCCCCCUCAGCAGAGUUAUUUAAUUCUGAAUGGAACAAAAUGUGAAUGAGUUAUAAAUAAUAUAUAAAUGAUUGAAUAUUCUUUAUUUAGUUUUUCUUUAUUCUCAAUUCUUCCAGAGACAUGUAUAUGCUCUGAGAAUAAUGUCUUUGCAUGAUUCUUCAUAAUUAAGUAUACUCAAUUAUUCUCUAUGAUCCUUUUUUCUAUAUUUUUGCUUUUCAACUAUCUAUAUAUUUUUUUUUGUGUCCUUAUUUAAAUCCCCAUUCUUGAUUCUAGACUAACUCUCAUAUAUAUACGUAAAUGUACGAAAGCUUGGCACGUCGAAUACGGAAACCCGGAAAUCUUUUCACCGUUGUCGUUUUUAUACUAUGACGCAAAAUCCAUGGACGCUCGUCUGCUGCUGAAUUCAUGUUUUAAAAGAAUGGACAAAGAUAGUCAGAUAGUUGAUACAAAGACCUUUGAUUUUUCAAACUGAUGGAUCAAAAAGUUAUUAUAAACAGAUAUAUUGAAAUGGGUUAGUAACUUACAUUGUCGAUUAACUGAAUCCGGGGAACGAAAGUCAACGCAACGAAAGUGUUUCGUUUUGAUGGAUUACGUACCAACUUAUUGUACUUGGAAAGCGCAAUGAAAUCCGACUCAAAAUCAUGCUGUUAAUUAGGGCCCCCUGUUGUACAUUGUACAUGUACUUAGGAAUCGGACACCUCCAGAAGAUGAAAGAUCUACUUUACAUCUUUUUCAACGAAAGUACAAUUACUUUGAGAAGUAGGAGAAGCUAAGCAACAGGACAGAAUUCAUUUGAGGCAUUGCUUUCUAGAUUAUAUAGUGGAGUCAUAGAUUGUCCUAUUGAUUUAUGUGGAUAUGAGGAGCAGUAGUCAAUGAAUAAUUUUGUGAUGAGAGGUAUGUAAUGAAAAUGAUAACUAUGUUUGAAUAAUUUUUUCUU